UGGCCGGCGGAUUGUGCCUGGCUUCUAACACGGACCAAGGAGUUUAACACAUGUGCGAGUACAGGGGUGGCAA
rnacentral:rRNA from 16 species